UACGUAGGCAGCGAGCGUUGUUCGGAAUUACUGGGCGUAAAGCGUGCGUAGGCGGUGUCUUAAGUCUGUUGUGAAAUCUCCCGGCUUAACCGGGAGGGUGCGGCGAAUACUGAGAUGCUGGAGUGCCGGAGAGGUAAGCGGAAUUCCUGGUGUAGCGGUGAAAUGCGUAGAUAUCAGGAGGAACACCUGCGGUGUAGACGGCAUACUGGACGGUAACUGACGCUGAGGCACGAAAGCGUGGGUAGCAAACAGG
rnacentral:rRNA from 1 species